rnacentral:rRNA from 1 species
CCUACGGGUGGCAGCAGUCGAGAAUCAUUCACAAUGGGGGAAACCCUGAUGGUGCGACGCCGCGUGGGGGAAUGAAGGUCUUCGGAUUGUAAACUCCUGUCACGUGGGAGCAAAUUAAAAAGAUAGUACCACAAGAGGAAGCGACGCCUAACUCUGUGCCAGCAGCCGCGGUAAGACAGAGGUCUCAAGCGUUGUUCGGAAUCACUGGGCGUAACGCGUGCGUAGGCUGUUUCGUAAGUCGUGUGUGAAAGGCGCGGGCUCAACCCGCGGACGGCACAUGAUACUGCGAGACUAGAGUAAAGGAGAGGGAACCGGAAUUCUCGGUGUAGCAGUGAAAUGCGUAGAUAUCGAGAGGAACACUCGUGGCGAAGGCGGGUUCCUGGACAUUAACUGACGCUGAGGCACGAAGGCCAGGGGAGCGAAAGGGAUUAGAUACCCUUGUAGUC